UAUCUUUAUCAUUUGGUAGUUUAUUUUAAGUUAAAACUUUACUUUUUUUAGCAUCAGACCAGAGAUUUGCACUAAUAUUGUCAGAAUUAGCCGCUUUAAGAGCAGAAUUAAACAAAGAUGCAUCAAGCUUACCAACUGAUCAGGGUUCUUCAGUCAUAUCAACACCUCCGGCUCAGGAAGUAGUCAACAACCUCUCUAGUUCAACAAUUUCUGAAAGGACUCUGGAUUUUUGUGUUAUUGAUGUCAAAAAUCUGACUUAGGAUUUCUUUGGGGUACUCCCAAUGAUGGCAUCAAGGAUUCAAAUGGAUUUUCAUUUAACCAGUUCUUGCUUUGGCGUACUACGCAUCCUGGUC
rnacentral:misc_RNA from 1 species